rnacentral:piRNA from 1 species
UUAUUGAGAAAUAUAGGAACU